rnacentral:rRNA from 1 species
AUUGAACGCUGGCGGCAUGCCUUACACAUGCAAGUCGAACGGCAGCACGGAGCUUGCUCUGGUGGCGAGUGGCGAACGGGUGAGUAAUAUAUCGGAACGUACCCUAGAGUGGGGGAUAACGUAGCGAAAGUUACGCUAAUACCGCAUACGAUCUAAGGAUGAAAGUGGGGGAUCGCAAGACCUCAUGCUCGUGGAGCGGCCGAUAUCUGAUUAGCUAGUUGGUAGGGUAAAAGCCUACCAAGGCAUCGAUCAGUAGCUGGUCUGAGAGGACGACCAGCCACACUGGAACUGAGACACGGUCCAGACUCCUACGGGAGGCAGCAGUGGGGAAUUUUGGACAAUGGGCGAAAGCCUGAUCCAGCAAUGCCGCGUGAGUGAAGAAGGCCUUCGGGUUGUAAAGCUCUUUUGUCAGGGAAAAAACGGUGAGAGCUAAUAUCUCUUGCUAAUGACGGUACCUGAAGAAUAAGCACCGGCUAACUACGUGCCAGCAGCCGCGGUAAUACGUAGGGUGCAAGCGUUAAUCGGAAUUACUGGGCGUAAAGCGUGCGCAGGCGGUUUUGUAAGUCUGAUGUGAAAUCCCCGGGCUCAACCUGGGAAUUGCAUUGGAGACUGCAAGGCUAGAAUCUGGCAGAGGGGGGUAGAAUUCCACGUGUAGCAGUGAAAUGCGUAGAUAUGUGGAGGAACACCGAUGGCGAAGGCAGCCCCCUGGGUCAAGAUUGACGCUCAUGCACGAAAGCGUGGGGAGCAAACAGGAUUAGAUACCCUGGUAGUCCACGCCCUAAACGAUGUCUACUAGUUGUCGGGUCUUAAUUGACUUGGUAACGCAGCUAACGCGUGAAGUAGACCGCCUGGGGAGUACGGUCGCAAGAUUAAAACUCAAAGGAAUUGACGGGGACCCGCACAAGCGGUGGAUGAUGUGGAUUAAUUCGAUGCAACGCGAAAAACCUUACCUACCCUUGACAUGGCUGGAAUCCUUGAGAGAUCAGGGAGUGCUCGAAAGAGAACCAGUACACAGGUGCUGCAUGGCUGUCGUCAGCUCGUGUCGUGAGAUGUUGGGUUAAGUCCCGCAACGAGCGCAACCCUUGUCAUUAGUUGCUACGAAAGGGCACUCUAAUGAGACUGCCGGUGACAAACCGGAGGAAGGUGGGGAUGACGUCAAGUCCUCAUGGCCCUUAUGGGUAGGGCUUCACACGUCAUACAAUGGUACAUACAGAGCGCCGCCAACCCGCGAGGGGGAGCUAAUCGCAGAAAGUGUAUCGUAGUCCGGAUUGUAGUCUGCAACUCGACUGCAUGAAGUUGGAAUCGCUAGUAAUCGCGGAUCAGCAUGUCGCGGUGAAUACGUUCCCGGGUCU